rnacentral:RNase_P_RNA from 1 species
GAGUCGCCCCACGCUCGCGAGGAAAGUCCCCCCACCUGUUCGGGCAGGUGACCGGACGCAAGUCCGGAGCGGGAGACCGCUGGCUCUGGAACAGAAACGACACGUCUCGGCCCGACCGAUGAUGCGCGCGAACCCGACCGAGAGGAAGGGGAGCUAACCCGCAGAGGGAAGCGUGGUCGCAUGUUGCUCGCGGUUGAACUCCGCAGGUCACGCUCGACGUGACCGACCACGCACUGACGGCCGAGGAUCGAUGGAACGGCGAACCCUCACCGGUGCAAGUCCGUCCCGUGGUAGCCCGAACACCCCGCGGCCUCGCCGCGGACGGUGCGGACGCUUAGCCGAAUGCCGGGAUGAACAGAAGGGGGCUUACUC